GUGGAGGUCCGAACCCACGAGCGUUGAAAAGCUCGGGGAUGACUUGUGGGUAGCGGUGAAAUUCCAAUCGAGCCCGGAGAUAGCUGGUUCUCCCCGAAAUAGCUUUAGGGCUAGCCUCAAGGUGAGAGAUACGGAGGUAGAGCACUGAAUGUCCUAGGGGGUAUUGCACCUACCGAAGACUAUCAAACUCCGAAUGCCGUCAUCUUAUACUUGGGAGUCAGACUGUGGGUGAUAAGAUUCAUAGUCGAAAGGGCAACAGCCCAGAUCGUCAGCUAAGGUCCCUAAAUGUAAGUUAAGUGGUAAAGGAUGUGGGAUUGCACAGACAACCAGGAUGUUGGCUUAGAAGCAGCCACUCAUUCAAAGAGUGCGUAAUAGCUCACUGGUCGAGUGAUCCUGCGCCGAAGAUUUCCGGGGCUAAAACUUACUACCGAAGCUACGGCAUCAGUAAUGAUGGGUAGGGGAGCUUCCCAUACGGGUUGAAGCAUGACCGUAAGGACAUGUGGACAGUAUGGGAGUGAGAAUGUUGGCAUGAGUAGCGAGAUGUGGGUGAGAAUCCCACAGGCCGUAAACCCAAGGUUUCCAGGGGAAGGUUCGUCCGCCCUGGGUUAGUCGGGACCUAAGCUGAGGCCGAAAGGCGUAGGUGAUGGACAACAGGUUGAUAUUCCUGUACUACCGAUAACCGUUUGAGAGAAGGGAUGACACAGUAGGAUAAGCUAAGCACACUGUUGGUUAUGUGUGCCCAAGCAUUGAGGCAGUCAAAGUAGGUAAAUCCGCUUUGAUAAUGCUGGGAUGUGAUGGGGAGCGAAAUUUAGUAGCGAAGUAGCUGAUUUCACACUGUCAAGAAAAGUCUCUAUCGAGGUUAAAGGUACCCGUACCGCAAACCGACACAGGUGGGUGAGGAGAGUAUCCUAAGGCCAGCGAGAGAACUGUUGUUAAGGAACUCGGCAAAAUGACCCCGUAACUUAGGGAUAAGGGGUGCCACCAUCAGGUGGCCGCAGAGAAUAGGCCCAAGCGACUGUUUACCAAAAACAUAGGUUUCUGCUAAGUCGCAAGACGAUGUAUAGGAGCUGACGCCUGCCCGGUGCUGGAAGGUUAAGGGGAUCUGUUAGAGCAAUCGAAGCAGUGAACUUAAGCCCCAGUAAACGGCGGCCGUAACUAUAACGGUCCUAAGGUAGCGAAAUUCCUUGUCGGGUAAGUUCCGACCCGCACGAAAGGCGUAACGAUUUGGGCACUGUCUCAACAACAGACUCGGUGAAAUUGUAAUUCCGGUGAAGAUGCCGGAUACCUGCGACAGGACGGAAAGACCCCAUGGAGCUUUACUGUAGCUUGACAUUGGGUCUUGGUACUACAUGUACAGGAUAGGUGGGAGGCUUUGAAACCAGGACGCCAGUUUUGGCGGAGCCAUCCUUGGGAUACCACCCUUGUAGUACUGGGACUCUAACCAUAGGCCAUGAAUCUGGUCUUGGGACACUGUCAGGUGGGCAGUUUGACUGGGGCGGUCGCCUCCCAAAAGGUAACGGAGGCGCUCAAAGGUUCUCUCAGUACGGUCGGAAAUCGUACGUAGAGUGUAAAGGCAAAAGAGAGCUUGAUUGCAAGACAUACAGGUCGAGCAAGGAUGAAAAUCGGACUUAGUGAUCCGGUGGUUCUGCGUGGAAGGGCCAUCGCUCAACGGAUAAAAGCUACCCUGGGGAUAACAGGCUUAUCUCCCCCAAGAGUCCACAUCGACGGGGAGGUUUGGCACCUCGAUGUCGGCUCAUCACAUCCUGGGGCUGUAGUAGGUCCCAAGGGUUGGGCUGUUCGCCCAUUAAAGUGGUACGCGAGCUGGGUUCAGAACGUCGUGAGACAGUUCGGUCCCUAUCCGUCGCAGGCGUAGGAAAUUUGAGAAGACCUGUCCUUAGUACGAGAGGACCGGGAUGGACGUACCUCUGGUGUACCAGUUGUCCUGCCAAGGGCAUGGCUGGGUAGCUAUGUACGGAAUGGAUAAGCGCUGAAAGCAUCUAAGCGCGAAGCCAACUUCAAGAUAAGAUUUCCCACCGCAAGGGUAAGACCCCAGAAAGACUAUCUGGUUGA
rnacentral:rRNA from 1 species